CACGUAGGGGCGAGCGUUGUCCGGAAUUACUGGGCGUAAAGGGCGCGCAGGCUGUUAUGCGAGUCUGCUGUGAAAUGUACCGGCUCAACCGGUGCCUUGCGGCGGAUACUGCAUAGCUGGAGUACUGGAGAGGGAAGUGGAAUUCCCGGUGUAGCGUUGAAAUGCGUAGAUAUCAGGAGGAACACCGGCGGCGAAGGCGGCUUGCUGGACGGCAACUGACGUUGAGGCUCGAAAGCGUGGGGAGCAAACAGGAUUAGAUACCCG
rnacentral:rRNA from 1 species